UUGUUAGGGAUAUCCCAUAAGGUUAGGUGCUGGUCUAUAGUGCAUUAGAGUACAAGGGGAGGGCUGGUCCUAGGAGAUAUCUCAUAUGGGUUGUAGCACUUGGUACCUUGGUACUAGUCUAUAAGGAAAGGGUUGGCAUGGGAAGAAUUAUCUCAUACCACACUCUAUUUGUUAAAGUGCAACCUUGCUAGUCCUAACUUACUUGUAUGGAGUAUGCUUUCUAUGUUUCAACAGGUUAUGGGCCCACAUUCUCUUACCAAGUAAGUUGUUCUUGCAUUAUUUCUUUGUUGCUUGUUUUUGGUGGUUGAGAUCUUAUGGUAGAGUGUUGCUAGUGAAUUGUUGAAGUCAUUGCUCCUGGAUUUGUGAGUGUAUGAGCUUAGUGCAAGACCUUGAUAGUGUCUUUGCUGAAGGAGCACUAGUAUUUGAGAGUUUUAUGAGAAAGUGAGUCAUUUUGAGUGAAGUGACGUAAGAGAGACGUUUGAAAGUCAUAAAAUCACAUUACAAACCAUUCUCCACCAUUUAGACGUAAUUUGGACUCAAAAUAUGCAAAAAGUUGCAAAACAGCGAAUUCUGGGUUUGUAGUUCAGCAAUCUUUAAGUAGUCAUAUCUUUUGCAUUACAACUCCAAAUCAAGAGUUUUUUGGACCUACUUGUAGCUUGAGAUGGCGUCUUUUGAGGGUGAUAGCUUAAGAGUUGUUGAAAAGUUUAGAGGUGACAACUUUCACCACUGGAAGGCCAAAAUGGAGCUACUUUUGGCGUCAUUGGAUCUUUGGAAGAUAGUAGAUGAGGAGGAACUUGCACCUAGGGUAGAGGCAAGCAUCAAGGAGCAAAAGGACUUCAAAAGACGAGAGAAGAAGGCUUUUGGCAUAAUUGCCACCAAUUUAGAUGAAAGCAACUUUGCUCAUGUCAUUUCUUGCAAAGGGGCAGCAGAUGCAUGGAAGUCUCUUUACAAUGUCUAUGAAAGUAGGAAUCUCUCCAAUGUGCUAUGGUCAAGGCAAAAACUCUUCACCGUGAAGAUGGAAGAAGGUGAAGAUCUCAUGGCUCAUGUGAAUAAGGUAAAAGCACUUGCAAACCAACUUGCUGUUGUUGACAAGCCUUUACUUGAAGAAGAUGUUGUGAUGGCAUUGCUCUCAAGCCUUCCGGACUCCUAUUCCUCCCUCAUUGUGGCAUUGGAGUCCAUUUCAAGGAAAGACCUCACUUUGGACUAUGUCACGACAAGACUAGCCCAUGAAGUGACCAAAAGAAAGCAAAAGGAGUCUAUUGGGGAGCAAUCAGCACUAUUUACAAGACCAAGUAAGGCAAGUGCCCCUUUUCAACGUUAUCCUCCUAAAACUUGUUACAUUUGUAGAAAAUCAGGCCAUUUUGCUAGAAAUUAUUUCAAAGCAAAGAAAGGAGAAAGAGAGAAUGCCAACAAUGCUUUUCAUGACCAUGGAGGUGAAGACUUUGCAUUCAUGGCAAAACAAACUCCUUCCAUGCUUGAUAUGAGCAAAUGGAUUGUGGAUUCCGGAUGUACCAAACACAUGACUCCAUACAAGUGUUCAUUUAACACUUAUCAACCAAUUCCAGCAACCAAGGUUUGGUUAGGUGAUAAUGGAAUGGUACAAGCCAUUGGAAUGGGCACCAUUGUAGUGGAGGUGGUGAUGAAGGACAUAAGCAAGAGAAUCACUCUCAAGGAUGUGUUGCAUGUGCCAAAGAUGAAGAAGAACCUCCUUUCGGUGAGUAAACUUGUAACUCAUGGGUGCAAAGUGCAAUUUAACAUGAAUGGAUGUUUUGUGAGAACCAUGGAAGGCAAAGAAGUAGCAAAAGGGACUAGGAAUGGCAAUCUCUAUAUUAUCAAUUGUAAGAGGAUCAAUGGAGUGGAGGUUGCUGCCUUUGCUGAAUUUCCAUCAAAUGAAGACAAGGUGGGCAUUUGGCAUCAAAGACUUGGGCAUUUGAAUGCCAAAAGCAUGAAGGAGCUUCAAUCCAUGGUAAGUGGCUUAGACCUUGGCCAUUCUACCAUGAAUCUUGCUUGUGAGGGAUGCAUUCAAGGCAAACAACAUAGGACACCAUUUCCUAGUGGAGUUGCAACAAGAGCAAACCAAUUGCUGGAGCUUGUGCAUUCAGAUGUUUGUGGACCCAUGAGGAUACCAUCUAUGAGUGGAGCAAGGUACUUUGUCACAUUUAUUGAUGACUUCUCAAGGAAGGUAUGGAUUUACAUCAUCAAGGCCAAGAGUGAGUGUUUUGCCAAGUUUAAGGAGUAGAAAGCACUUGUGGAGAAGCAAUGUGAGCACAAGAUUAAGGUGCUGCGAUCGGACAAUGGAGGUGAGUAUUUGUCCAAACACUUUGAUGAGUUAUUGAAGCAUGAAGGCAUUGCAAGACAAACCUCUACUCCCUACACUCCACAACAAAAUGGAGUUGCUGAAAGAGCAAAUCGCACUAUUGUGGAGAUGGCAAGGAGUAUGAUUCAUGCUCAAAAACUUGGGUAUGAAUAUUGGACGGAAGCUGUGGUAAAUGCCGUGUAUACAAGAAAUAGGUGUCUCACAAGUGCACUUGAUGGAAUGACUCCCCAAGAAGCUUGGACUGGUAAGAAACCUUGCAUAUCCCACAUGAGGAUUUUUGGGUGCAUUGCAUAUGUCAAGGUUCCAGAUAGUAUGAGAGGCAAACUUGAUGCAAAGGGCACAAGAUGUGUAUUCCUUGGUUAUUGUGAAGGUACCAAGGCAUAUAGGCUCAUGUGUUUAGAUACGAAAAAGAUCAUCAAAAGUCGUGAUGUAGAGUUCUUAGAGCAUAAGAGUGGUAGUGAAAAGUGAGAGAUGUGUCCAAGUGGGAGUAGUGGUGUGUUUGUGGACACAUCUUCAAUUCCAGCAAACAAACAAGAAAAUGAAGAAGAGCAUUCUCAAAGUGAAGAAGGAGAGGAAGAUGCCAUGAUAGAAGAGCCCAAUACUAUGAAGACUUCAAUUCCAGCAAGAUACAACAAGGACAAUGAAGAGAAUGAAGAUGAAGAAUACCAACCAAUGAGUAAGACAAAGAACUCCAUGAGCCAUACAAGACAGCAAGAGGUGCAUGAAGGCUCAUCGUCUUUACAAGAAAGAAGAUAUCCAACACAUGAGAGAAGACCACAAGGUGAAUGGUGGAAGAACCACAUCUUUCCACAAGUAAGUGAAGACCAUGCCAAUAUUGCUCUUCUUGAUGAUCCAUUGACUUUGUGUGAUGCAAUGAGGUGUGGUGAUGCAAUGAAGUGGGAGAUUGCCAUGCAAGAAGAAUACAAAUCUCUGAUGGACAAUGAGACAUGGGAGUUGACUCCACUUCCACCAAAUCGAUCAGCAAUUGGAUGUAAGUGGGUGUUUAGAACCAAGAGAGAUGCUAUGGGCAAUGUUGUAAGGUACAAGAGAAGAUUGGUUGCCAAAGGCUACUCACAAGUUGCUGGAGUGGACUUUAAUGAGACAUUUUCACCCGUGGCCAAGUUUACCACCAUUAGAACCAUAGUAGCAAUUGGAGCAUCAAUGGAUCUUGAGAUGCAUCAAAUGGACGUCAAGACAGCAUUCUUGAAUGGAGAAUUGGAAGAAGACAUCUAUAUGGAGCAACCUGAAGGAUUUAUUGAACAAGACAAACACCACCUUGUUUGUAAGUUGAAGAAGUCAUUGUAUGGACUCAAGCAAUCACCAAGAGCAUGGUACCAAUGCAUUGACUCAUUCUUUGUAAAGGAAGGUUUUGUAAGGAGUGAAGCUGACCAUUCUUUGUAUGUAUUGCAAGCCAAGGACUUCUUACUGGUUGUAAUCCUCUAUGUAGAUGAUUUAAUCAUCUUAAGCAACACCAUGGUAAGAUUGGAUUGGUUGAAGAAGAAAUUGGAGGGAGAAUUUGAGAUGAGUGAUUUGGGAGAGCUCUAUUAUUGUUUGGGUGUGGAAUUCACAAGAAGUAGAGAAUCAAAGACCAUCACAUUGAGCCAAAGCAAGUACAUUGAAGAAGUGUUGAAACGAUUCAACAUGGGAGAUUGCAAGCCCAUUGGAACUCCUUUGGAGGCCAACUUGAAGUUGAUGAAGCUCACGGAUGAGGAGUAUGCUGAAGUUGAGCACCAAAUGCAAGGCAUACCAUACAAGGCAGCAGUAGGCUCACUCAUGUAUGCAAUGGUAGGUACAAGGAUGGAUCUUGCAUUUGCGGUAAGUGUUGUAAGCCAACACAUGGCAAAACCAGGUCCUAUGCAUUGGGCAACCAUCAAGAGAAUCAUGAGGUACUUGAAAGGCUCUUUGAACCUCAAACUAUGUCUUGGAGGAGAUAAUAUUGCAUUACAUGGAUAUUGUGAUGUGGAUUGGGCUGGAGAUUCAAACGAUAGAAGGUCAACAACGGGCUAUGUAUUCUUUGUUGGAGUGGGAGCCAUAUCUUGGAAUUGCAAGAGACAACCAACCAUUGCAAGGUCCACAAUGGAGGCGGAGUACAUGGCAGCAAGUCAUGGAGCAAUGGAGGCAAUUUGGUUGAGGUUGUUAUUAGAAGAUAUUGGACUUGUGCAAUUGGAGGCCACUCCAUUGAGGUGUGACAAUCAAGGAUGUCUUGCUUUUGCAAAGAAUCCAAAGCAUCAUGCAAGAACCAAGCACAUUGAUAUUCAGCGUCAUUUCAUAAGAGAGAAGAUAGAAAUGGGGGUUAUUGAUAUGAUGUAUUGUGAAACUAAAGACAUGUUGGCUGAUUUAUUGACAAAAGCCUUAGUUAGAGAAAGACACAACAAGUUGAGUAAGGCAUUAGGAUUGAUAGGUAAUUGAUCAAUAGCAAAGUGGGAGUGUUGAAGGAAAGAACUCUUUAAGUAGUUGCUAAUGGUCAAUAGAGUACAAGUGUUGUUAGGGAUAUCCUAUAAGAUUAGGUUCUGGUCUAUAGUGCAUUAGAGUACAAGGGGAGGGCUGGUCCUUGGAGAUAUCCCAUAUGGGUUGUAGCACUUGGUACCUUGGUACUAGUCUAUAAGGAAAGGGUUGGCAUGGGAAGAAUUAUCUCAUACCACACUCUAUUUGUUAAAGUGCAACCUUGCUGGUCCUAACUUACUUGUGUGGAGUAUGCUUUCUAUGUUUCAACA
rnacentral:lncRNA from 1 species